UCAGUUCAUUAAUAAAAAAUGAUAAACAGUAAAUUGAGACAACCCAAUUACUCCGAAAAGAUCAAAUUUCAAAGAAAUUUUAAAUCGUUUUUUAUCAUUUAGUGUUAGCUUUCAGUGUUACUUUUUGUAAAACAAUGGUUUUGGUCCAUUUUGAAAGUUACUGUUGCUCUCAACAUUUACCUUGUUACUAAAUGUUACUUUAGUUAAUGUUCAAUGAUUACCUUCACUCCCACCUGAGCCUCCUCUCAUUUGGUUCCAAUUAAAGCUUCCUCCCAAGGUAUUUAUCGUUGCGGUUAAAAGUUAAAUGAUAAGCAACCUAAAGAGAUAUAACAAUCAGCUGUAAAGGAAUACAAAACCACAAAUUAGGUUUUCAAUCCAAUUGCUAACUGCUUCUGAAUGGACACAAAUUAUGAUGAUAUGAGUAUGGACAUUACUGGAUUUGAUUGAUGCUUUUACAUUUUCCUCUAAUUUCAACCGUUUCUCUUUCCUUGGAUCUCACUGUCUGGUCAUUUGGUAAUUUACCAGUAAAGAUAACUUACCUUUUCAACAAGUUAUCCUAACUGUUUACAGCAUUUUCCCCAAACAAUUGAAUAAACCGAUGACAACUUAAUUAGUGCUUUGCUUUCCCUUGUCGUUUCACAUUAACCAGAUCCAUGACUUCUUUUAAAAGCAAACAGAGAGUUGGCCAAGCCGCUAUUGCAAUGAUUGGAGGCCAAUUGGACAGACAGACCUGAAGCCAGCCGUGUUAACCGAGAACCGUAAUUAUUUGUUAUAAUCUAAAUGGAAGAUUAAAUGGAGGAUAAUACGCCCAGGAAGAAUCCAAUUUAUCGACAUUUUUGGAAAGUUUACAUUCCCUCUUAUCAUUUAAAUGGACAUUAUUGGACAUCUUUCAACCUUUCCUGAUCAUCAUAAUAAUAAUGUCCUUCUUAAAAUCGAGCAAAAGAUUCAAACAAGAGCAAUAACAAGAAGAAAAUGUCUACAAUUUUAUAACCAGUAAGGGGUCUUGAUCAACAGUUGACCUUUCCUUGGACUCUUAUUACCUGUUCAUAAGGGAUUGAUAAUCCCUUGAAAGUUGAUGGACAAAAAAAAGGAGAAAAGAUGAAAAUAUCUGAAUCUUCUUAUAAUGAUCAAGUUAUUGAAGUCAACCUCUUUUAUAAUGUUGCACUGUCAGAGGAGCCAAAAUAAAGAGGAAAAAUGUUGAAUAAAUAAAUGGCAGGGAAUCAUUAUAUUAUCAUUAUAAUCAACAUUAUUUGGUCAACCAAAUGGCGUCCAUAAUAAGACACAAAUGUAAAAAUUGGUUUGUUAAACAACGUUUCCCUGAUUCUUCCAAAUAACCUCUAAGCUUCAACUUUAUUCCCUGUCAAGUGGCCAAAGUGACUCUCAUUUGAUAACCAAAUUCAUUGAUUGAAUUGUAAAAAUUGGACGAUUUUUAAAGACAAAAUUUCUCUAAUCACGUUAAACAAUCGAGUGAAUCAAUAAUCAGGAGAAAAAAUUGUUGAUCCAGAAAGAAAAAGGAGAACCCAAAUGAACAUUUUAUCAUUAUUAUCACCAUAAUCAACACUGGCAACAAAUGACAUUCAUAACACAAGAUCAACAAUUGAAAUGGUUUGUUAAACUGUGUUUUUGGCCCUUUUUGGCUACUAACAAUUCUUAAGCUUUAAUUCAUUCCCUGUCAAUUGAGUUACUUACAAGUCUACUUAUCUUAUUAUUGAGUCCUUAUCUUCACCAGCUUAAAGGUGAAAGGCCUUAAAAGGACAAAGUAAAACCUGAAAACUAAGGAUGCUGAAGGAGAGUAAAAAAAGGCUUCAAUAUUUGAUCCGAUUUUUUUUCCUUCUAACAGGGAAUGUUUUUCCGGUCAAAAUUACUUUAAUAGCAAUCAAUAGCUUUGUUAAACUGACGAUUGUUACACUUGAUAUAAUAAAUAAUAACCAUUUAAUCUUUUA